GAUGUCAGAAGAGAGCCAUAGAGAAAAGGAAACUGGAAGAGGCCAUAUGUGCCCUGUGCACGUCCCGACCCUGAAGGCUACGGCAGGCAGAGCCAAAGAGCCAUCGGGCCACCAGGGUCUCUGUGCCUGAUGGUGCUCCCUGGCCACAGGAGACUGCUCAGGGGGCCCACAGGGUUGGCUGUCGAAGAUGUUGGAACAAGUCUCCACCAAUGGGAGAGGGGAAUUGGUGGACAAACGUUCCAGGUCCUCAUCCCUGGAAGGACUCUGCAGAACUGUGAUCCACAGGCUCUCAGAGAACAGUCUCGGAACCGCACACCUGUCUGCAGCCUCAGUCGACACCCCGAGAAAGCUCCCUUCUUCGCUGUGUUCCCUUUCUCAUCUUCUCAUCCCGCUACCCACUCGCUCACCGUGCUUUCUGGGGCCACCUUCCGAGGAAAUUAGUCACCCACAAACCUCUGUCUAAGAUGCAAUCCAGAAUAAACAUCUCCUGGGUUCCCCGAGGCUGGGGCAGACAAAUGGCUUCCAGGACCCUCAGUGGAACCUUCCAUGCCAAGUGGGUUUCUCUCGCAGUUCCAGCCCAUCUGGGACAUGUAAAGUUCAGUAAAAGCCUGUGGGACACCAGUGCCUCUGCAGAGUACAUUUGGGGAAAUUGAAACAAAGAGGCCAACGUUCCCCUAGAGAAGAGACUCGCUGACGGAGCGAUUUCAGAGGACGCAGCCAUGGGAGGAGGUGGUGAGAGAAGGAACAACAGCCUCCAGGAUGCCCCAAGAUAUACAGGAAGAAGCUGUGCUCUCGGUGCUUUUGUGACAUUUCCACCCACCUGACUGGAAAGGGAGCAGGAGUUACCUUUACAUUGAGGGGCUGCAGGAGACCAGCCUGAAGAACUGCAAGAGAGUCGAGCUUCACCAACCAGAGUGUAUCCUUUGUCACAUUUAUAUAUCACCUCCGUACGAGCAAAUACACUGAAAGCUUGAGUUC